rnacentral:lncRNA from 1 species
UCUCCGACCCCUGAGUCUAGGAAUCUUCCCCUCCUUUCAAUCAAAGGAAUCACACGUCUUUGUUGUUGUUGUUGUUGUUGUUACUUUAUUGUUUAGCACGAGUGAGUGUGUGUGUGUCACUCAGUCAGGAGUUAGUUCCCCCUUCCCCCAUGUAGUCCUGGGGAUUGGGAUUGGUGGCAGGUCCCUUCACCUACUGAGCCAUCUUGUCACCUCCUUGGCCUCUUCUUGUUGCUGCGUCCCUUCAUUUGACCUGACUGGAGCCUCAGGAGGACUCAGAUGCUCAGUUGGAAAUCUGUCAGAGUGGCAAGCCGGGUGCGGAUGCUCCUGGGGAAGGAGAGUGAGCCAGCUUCCCCUUCAAAUGACCUUGCUUCAUCCCUCUAUAGCCCAGGGUUCUCAGGAUGGCUCCUUGCCGGAGUCGCCUACUAGGUGGAGACAGGGAAGGUCUGAAGGCCUUUGUCUGCCUUUGCCUCUUCCCUCAGAGCUGCCGUGCAGCCCCUCCACGCUGUCCUGACUCACCAGAUAGUUGCUCUAACGGAAAACAAGAGCAAAGCCAUACGUCAGAGGGUGACUCAGAACAGAGUGCUGGGCGGUCUGGUAGCAGCUGCUCUCCAGGGUGACAUUCAACAGAGGACAGGGAGCCACUGCAGGAGGGGCGGAGGGUCACAGGCAGAUGUCCUCUCCUGGGAAUCCAGUCCAGCCCUCUGCUAAGGUAUUCCUGGAAGCCUGUGCCAUCCCAAAACCCUUUAAAAGGUUCUUAAGCUUCGGCUUGUUGGCUCACACCUUUAAUCCCAGAACUCCGCUGGCGGAGGCAGAAUGAGAACAAAAGCCGCCCCGAUUAUUCAGAAAGAGACCAGAAUGGAUGGUUUUGUCAGAUCAGAACUAUUAUGAUAAUUCCAUGUCCUCUGUCCUUGAAGUGUUUGCUGCAGAGAUUAAAGCUGGGGAGGCUGCUGCAGUUCCUCAGUGUUGCUGGAAAUCAGCUAUUUGUUUUAUUGUAAGUUUUUUUUUU